rnacentral:rRNA from 1 species
AUUGAACGCUGGCGGCAGGCCUAACACAUGCAAGUCGAACGAGUGGCGGACGGGUGAGUAAUGUCUGGGAAACUGCCCGAUGGAGGGGGAUAACUACUGGCAACGGUAGCUAAUACCGCAUACCAUCGGAUGUGCCCAGAUGGGAUUAGCUAGUAGGUGGGGUAACGGAUCACCUAGGCGACGAUCCCUAGCUGGUCUGAGAGGAUGACCAGCCACACUGAAACUGAGACACGGUCCAGACUCCUACGAUACGCAGCAGUGGGGAGUAUUGCACAAUGGGAGCAAGCCUGAUGCAGCCAUGCCGCGUGUAUGAAGAAGGCCUUCGGGUUGUAAAGUACUUUCAGCGAGAAGGCGUUACUCGCAGAAGAAGCACCGGCUAACUCCGUGCCAGCAGCCGCGGUAAUUC